AAUUUUACUUUAAUACUUAUUAAAUAUGCUCUUUUCAAAUGGAACUAGACACUAAACCACAAGUGCUAAUAGUGUACAAAUAACUCAUAAUUAAGUCUUUGUAAUGCAGAAUAUGUUCCCUAUUCUAAAGUUGGGUCUAAAAUUGAUUUUUGUAUUUGUGCUAACUUGGCUGUCUGCUUGUUGUGUGCGCUGUAAUACACUUAAAAAGUGUGAAUAGGAGGCAACUUUAGUUUAGGGAACACAUGGGGGUUAAUAAGUGCCAAAUGAAUUGUGAAUUAAAUGUGAACAAAGACCAAACUUUAGAACAGGGAACAUAUUCUGCAUUACAAAGACUUAAUUAUGAGUUAUUUGUACACUAUUAGCAC